AUCAUUAACUAAUGUAUUGGCACUUUACUGGGAUUUACUUCUCAGUAUUGUUUGCUUCUAUACUGUGAACCUCUGGCGAUGAAGGUCGUAACUGACCUUCGGGAGAGACUCAGGACAUAUAGGCUAUAAUGGGUAGGCCUGUUCUGGGGUUUGAUCGAUGCCAAUCAGGAUUACCUUUCUUCCUUUGGGAAGGAAGGUGCCUGGUACCCUUUACCAUAUACCAUGAAUUCAGAAUUGAAAGUAUAAUAUAAUAACAACUUUUAACAAUGGAUCUCUUGGUUCUCGCAUCGAUGAAGAACGUAGCAAAGUGCGAUAACUAGUGUGAAUUGCAUAUUCGUGAAUCAUCGAGUCUUUGAACGCAGCUUGCACUCUAUGGAUCUUCUAUAGAGUACGCUUGCUUCAGUAUCAUAACCAACCCACACAUAAAAUUUAUUUUAUGUGGUGAUGGACAAGCUCGGUUAAAUUUAAUUAUUAUACCGAUUGUCUAAAAUACAGCCUCUUUGUAAUUUUCAUUAAAUUACGAACUACCUAGCCAUCGUGCUUUUUUGGUCCAACCAAAAAACAUAUAAUCUAGGGGUUCUGCYAGCCAGCAGAUAUUUUAAUGAUCUUUAACUAUGAUCUGAAGUCAAGUGGGACUACCC
rnacentral:rRNA from 1 species